CAGCCGCCGCGGUAAUGCGAAGGGUGCAAGCGUUACUCGGAAUUACUGGGCGUAAAGCGUGCGUAGGUGGUGGUUUAAGUCCGUCGUGAAAGCCCUGGGCUCAACCUGGGAAUUGCAGUGGAUACUGGGUCACUAGAGUGUGGUAGAGAAUAGUGGAAUUUCCGGUGUAGCAGUGAAAUGCGUAGAGAUCGGAAGGAACAUCUGUGGCGAAGGCGACUAUCUGGGCCAACACUGACACUGAGGCACGAAAGCGUGUGGAGCAAACAGGAUUAGAUACCCCCGUAGUCCCUGUCUCUUAUAC
rnacentral:rRNA from 1 species